UACAGAGGGUGCAAGCGUUGCUCGGAAUUAUUGGGCGUAAAGGGUAGGUAGGUGGUCUCAUUUGUGUGGGGUGAAAGCCUUGAGCUUAACUCAAGAAGUGCCCCGCAAACGGUGAGACUGGAGUACUUGAGAGGCUAGCGGAAUUCCCGGUGUAGCGGUGAAAUGCGUAGGGAUCGGGAGGAACACCAAAGACGAAGGCGGCUAACUGGAAAGUUACUAACACUCAACUACGAAAGCGUGAAGAGCAAACAGG
rnacentral:rRNA from 1 species